UACGGAGGGGGCUAGCGUUGUUCGGAAUUACUGGGCGUAAAGCGCACGUAGGCGGCUUUGUAAGUUAGAGGUGAAAGCCCGGAGCUCAACUCCGGAAUUGCCUUUAAGACUGCAUCGCUUGAAUCAUGGAGAGGUGAGUGGAAUUCCGAGUGUAGAGGUGAAAUUCGUAGAUAUUCGGAGGAACACCAGUGGCGAAGGCGGCUCACUGGUCCAUUACUGACGCUGAGGUGCGAAAGCGUGGGGAGCAAACAGG
rnacentral:rRNA from 1 species